UGGGGUGUAAACCAAUGGUAGAGUACUUGCCUCAUGUGUGUGAGAUCCUGGGUUCCAUCCCCAGCACCAUAA
rnacentral:tRNA from 1 species